CUGGCAGCUCUCUGACGAUGACAAAUGAUGAGCUUGUUUACACCUUCACCCUCCUCUACACUCCAGAGCCUUUAGUAGGAACUCCCAUCGUAAGGGCUGAUGCAGCAGCUGUUGGAAUUGAGUGUCAUUAUUCAAGGUUGCAAAAUGUAAGCAGCAAUGUGCUGAUGCUCAGCUGGGUUCCUUUUGCUGCUACAAAAGUCGGAGAGGAAGUUCUGGUGUUUUC